rnacentral:rRNA from 1 species
UACAGAGGGUGCGAGCGUUAAUCGGAAUUACUGGGCGUAAAGCGCGCGUAGGCGGCUUUGCAAGUCGGGUGUGAAAUCCCCCGGCUUAACCUGGGAACUGCGUCUGAUACUGGAAGGCUUGAGUAUGGGAGAGGGAUGUAGAAUUCCAGGUGUAGCGGUGAAAUGCGUAGAUAUCUGGAGGAACACCGGUGGCGAAGGCGGCGUUCUGGACUGCAACUGACACUGAGGAACGAAAGCCAGGGGAGCAAACGGG